rnacentral:rRNA from 1 species
GACGAACGCUGGCGGCGUGCUUAACACAUGCAAGUCGAGCGGUAAGGCUCCUUCGGGAGUACACGAGCGGCGAAAGGGUGAGUAACACGUGAGCAAUCCGCCCUUCCCAUCGGAAUAAGCGUGGGAAACCGCGUCUAAUGCCGAAUACGACCUCCUUUCGCAUGACCGGAGGUGGCAAGCUCUGGCGGAGAAGGCUGAGCUCGCGGCCUAUCAGCUAGUUGGUGAGGUAACGGCCCACCGAGGCGACGACGGGUAGCCGGCCGGAGAGGGUGACCGGCCACACUUGGACUGAGACACGGCCCAGACUCCUACGGGAGGCAGCAGUGGGGAAUAUUGGACAAUGGGCGAAAGCCUGAUCCAGCAACGCCGCGUGAGGGAUGACGGCCUUCGGGUUGCAAACCUCUUUCAGCAGGGACGAAGCGAAAGUGACGGUACCUGCAGAAGAAGGACCGGCCAACUACGUGCCAGCAGCCGCCGUAA